rnacentral:rRNA from 1 species
ACGGGUGAGUAAUACAUCGGAACAUGUCCUGUAGUGGGGGAUAGCCCGGCGAAAGCCGGAUUAAUACCGCAUACGAUCUAUGGAUGAAAGCGGGGGACCUUCGGGCCUCGCGCUAUAGGGUUGGCCGAUGGCUGAUUAGCUAGUUGGUGGGGUAAAGGCCUACCAAGGCGACGAUCAGUAGCUGGUCUGAGAGGACGACCAGCCACACUGGGACUGAGACACGGCCCAGACUCCUACGGGAGGCAGCAGUGGGGAAUUUUGGACAAUGGGCGAAAGCCUGAUCCAGCAAUGCCGCGUGUGUGAAGAAGGCCUUCGGGUUGUAAAGCACUUUUGUCCGGAAAGAAAUCCUUGGCUCUAAUACAGUCGGGGGAUGACGGUACCGGAAGAAUAAGCACCGGCUAACUACGUGCCAGCAGCCGCGGUAAUACGUAGGGUGCAAGCGUUAAUCGGAAUUACUGGGCGUAAAGCGUGCGCAGGCGGUUUGCUAAGACCGAUGUGAAAUCCCCGGGCUCAACCUGGGAACUGCAUUGGUGACUGGCAGGCUAGAGUAUGGCAGAGGGGGGUAGAAUUCCACGUGUAGCAGUGAAAUGCGUAGAGAUGUGGAGGAAUACCCGAUGGCGAAGGCAGCCCCCUGGGCCAAUACUGACGCUCAUGCACGAAAGCGUGGGGGAGCAAACAGGAUUAGAUACCCUGGUAGUCCACGCCCUAAACGAUGUCAACUAGUUGUUGGGGAUUCAUUUCCUUAGUAACGUAGCUAACGCGUGAAGUUGACCGCCUGGGGAGUACGGUCGCAAGAUUAAAACUCAAAGGAAUUGACGGGGACCCGCACAAGCGGUGGAUGAUGUGGAUUAAUUCGAUGCAACGCGAAAAACCUUACCUACCCUUGACAUGGUCGGAAUCCUGAAGAGAUUCGGGAGUGCUCGAAAGAGAACCGGCGCACAGGUGCUGCAUGGCUGUCGUCAGCUCGUGUCGUGAGAUGUUGGGUUAAGUCCCGCAACGAGCGCAACCCUUGUCCUUAGUUGCUACGCAAGAGCACUCUAAGGAGACUGCCGGUGACAAACCGGAGGAAGGUGGGGAUGACGUCAAGUCCUCAUGGCCCUUAUGGGUAGGGCUUCACACGUCAUACAAUGGUCGGAACAGAGGGUUGCCAACCCGCGAGGGGGAGCUAAUCCCAGAAAACCGAUCGUAGUCCGGAUUGCACUCUGCAACUCGAGUGCAUGAAGCUGGAAUCGC